GAGGAAAUGUGCUUUCAAACAGCUACAAAGCACAGUGUCUGUUCUCUUUCUCCAGACACAGAACGCAGCCCCCUGGAGAGGCUUGGGCUCAGGCAUUGGCUGUGUGGGACAGACAGGAGAUGCUAUCUCAGCAGAGGCCUGGCAGUUUCACACAUUAAAAGGGCUCAUGAAAUCUGUCCAGUGAUGGAAGAAAACUUGGAGGAGCCAGGUGCAGAAAUCCCCAGCGGGCUUCCUGUCUGUUUCCAGUGGUCAGAAAGAUGGAGUUUCAAUCAAAACCGAUCACCAGAAACAUUUCAAAGAGGACCUUCUUGCAGAAUCUCAAGCAUCUUCCUUUUAUCGUGUUGAAUUCUUCUUUGUUAAUGCUGCCUUCUCUUCAUGAUGGAAAUGAUAUGUCUGCCUAAGGUGAACACCUGAUGUACAUGGUCAGUAGAUGUUGGAUCAGAUGAAUCCCCCCAGAUUUGUGAGGAAGUCUCUGGAUGGAAAGCCGCACUGGUUUCUGCUCAGUGUUUCUUGAGAAGGCAGCCUAAUUCAAAAACAUACAAUCCAAAUGGCUUGCACUGGGAGGGACCUUGAAGAUCAUCUAGCUCCAGCUCCAAAUUUUUGCUUGUGAUUGUUUUUAAAGCUUCUUGAAAUAUUUCAAUAUUUCAGCUUUACCGUAAGUAUUUUCAAUUUAAAAUUACAAGGUUUUAAAAUUUGCACAGUGUUUUUUCUAACACGAAGAGAUUCACUAAUGUAAGCCAGUUUAGGACCUUGUAUACUGUUAUGGUGACUGGUGACCAUCACUUCUGGCUUGCAAUGAAAACAGCACCGAUUUGAAGUAUAUAUGUCACCCAAUGCUUCAUGUAUAUACUGUGAUAUUAUUGGUGUUGUUCAACAAGUUACCACCUUCAAAAGUGCCUACUUAUUUCAUCCUUCAAGUGUUUGUAUUUCACUCAAUGUCAGAGUAAAUUGCAUGAUUGAUGUUUUAGUCCAUUUAUCAAGGAACUCAUGCAUUCCCUUUUAAAAAUCAAUAUUUAAGAAUAAAAUAGCCUUGCAAUAAUUUAUCAGUGUAAGUAAAAAUGUUGUCUAAUGUUUUACUUGGAGAACUAACUUUUGUAGAUUAAAUAAAUGGCAAAACUCACAUCAAGCUUGGCUACCUCAGCAUUCCUUGUAUUGGCUCUCUUCAUGCAAGAAACAGGGCAGAAGUGGAACUAUCAUGUACGGGUGAGCAGUGUGCAAAAAACCUGUCAGUUGUUCCAAAAACACUGAUAGUGAUUUUACUGUAGAGACUAUGAAAGUAGCUGUUUCACUUGGUUCUCCAACCUGCACUGAUUUGAAUCCUGGAAUUGCAUUUUGUUGGGAAGAGUUAAAAAUAUACUUAAUAAAAAUUGGCUUUAAAGCUAGAGGAAAAAAGACAAGGUGGUUAUUAAAGUUCAAAGUGCGAUGUGACUUAGGAGACUUGUGGGCUAAGUUUGAAGUUUUUUGGACCCACAUUCCAUCUGCCCUUAGAUACUGAACAGACAAGGUAUGUCAGCCGGGUCAAUUAUUUUCAUUCCAGGUAUUCGUACUUUUCAUAGGCCUUUAUAUCUGAAAAUAUAGUUUCCUUAUAUAUAUUUAUAUACGUUUAAAUAUUUCUGUUAACUUACAGUGGCAGGUGAGGAUCUGUUGGAGUAGCUAGUUUCACUAAUGCUGUGCUUAUAAUUGUUCUGCUUUUGAAUUUGUG
ensembl:lncRNA